GAUGAACGCUAGCGGGAGGCUUAACACAUGCAAGUCGAGGGGCAGCACGAGGUAGCAAUACUUUGGUGGCGACCGGCGCACGGGUGAGUAACAGGUAUGCAACUUACCCUGUACAGGGGGAUAACCCGGAGAAAUUCGGACUAAUACCCCAUAAUGUUAUUGAAAGGCAUCUUUUAAUAAUUAAAAUUACGAUGGUACAGGAUGGGCAUGCUCAACAUUAGCUAGUUGGUAAGGUAACGGCUUACCAAGGCUACGAUGUUUAGGGGGCCUGAGAGGGUGAUCCCCCACACUGGUACUGAGACACGGACCAGACUCCUACGGGAGGCAGCAGUGAGGAAUAUUGGUCAAUGGGCGCAAGCCUGAACCAGCCAUCCCGCGUGCAGGAAGACGGCGCUAUGCGUUGUAAACUGCUUUUCUGGAGGAAGAAA
rnacentral:rRNA from 1 species